rnacentral:sRNA from 1 species
GGGACAUAUUUUCAUAUACAUAUAUGUAGGUGUGUAGACUUAAGCGUUAACAUAACAGCCCGACUAUUAUACCCGCAACGAAGUACCAUCCGGCCGUUAUAUAUCCCUUAAUCCGUCAUGAAGCCACACUGUACGCGUUUUAAGGUAGGAAUAAGCGUUAAAUUAAUAUUAAACAACCAAAUUACACAAAUAAUGAUUUAAAUUGAAUUUUCGUACAUUGGACCUGGGGAAUACUGGAAUAUGUGUACCUUCAUGGGAGGAAUGCUCUCAGUCGACAGCUAACUAGUGCGGGAUCAAAUUGAUCUAGGUCGAAUAUUGUUUGGGUUACAGACAAAACCUUGACUGGAGCAAAGUUUGAGUCACUUGCUUAUGGGUAGGGCUUUGUCUGCCUGCUUACCAAUAGACGUAUGUAAAUUGUACAUACAUGUGGA